rnacentral:rRNA from 1 species
GAUGAACGCUGGCGGUAUGCGUAACACAUGCAAGUCGAGCGAAGUUUUUCGGAACUUAGUGGCGGACGGGUGAGUAACGCGUGAGAAUCUGCCUUAAGGAUUGGGACAACAGUGGGAAACCGCUGCUAAUACCAAAUAUGCCUUUUAGUGAAACGGGUAAAACCGCCUUAAGAUGAGCUCGCGUCUGAUUAGCUAGUAGGUGUGGUAAGAGCGCACCUAGGCGACGAUCAGUAGCUGGUCUGAGAGGACGACCAGCCACACUGGGACUGAGACACGGCCCAGACUCCUACGGGAGGCAGCAGUGAGGAAUUUUCCGCAAUGGGCGAAAGCCUGACGGAGCAAUACCGCGUGAGGGAGGAAGGUUCUUGGAUUGUAAACCUCUUUUCUCAGAGAAGAAUAAUGACGGUAUCUGAGGAAUAAGCAUCGGCUAACUCCGUGCCAGCAGCCGCGGUAAUACGGAGGAUGCAAGCGUUAUCCGGAAUGAUUGGGCGUAAAGGGUCUGUAGGUGGUUGUUCAAGUCUGCUGUUAAAGCGUCUGGCUUAACCAGAUAAAGGCGGUGGAAACUGAACAACUAGAGUGCGGUAGGGGUAGAGGGAAUUCCCAGUGUAGCGGUGAAAUGCGUAGAUCUUGGGAAGAACACCUGUGGCGAAAGCGCUCUACUGGACCGCGACUGACACUGAUGGACGAAAGCUAGGGGAGCGAAUGGGAUUAGAUACCCCAGUAGUCCUAGCCGUAAACGAUGGAUACUAGGCGUUGCCCGUAUCGACCCGGGCAGUGUCGUAGCUAACGCGUUAAUAUCCCGCCGGGAGAUCGC